rnacentral:tRNA from 1 species
UGCGCCACUUCGGCGGCGACCCCGUCGCGUACGGUCCGGGGCUGUUCGAGCGCGUGGUCGCGAUCGCCGGUGACGUUCCGAUCGUCGCGGCGCUG